UACGUAGGGGCCGAGCGUUGUCCGGAGUUACUGGGCGUAAAGCGCGCGCAGGCGGCGCAUCGCGCCCGGCGUGAAAGCCCCCGGCUCAACUGGGGAGGGUCACGCGAUACUGGUCGACUCGAAGGCAGGAGAGGGUAGUGGAAUUCCCGGUGUAGUGGUGAAAUGCGUAGAUAUCGGGAAGAACACCCGUGGCGAAGGCGGUUCUCUGGGACGGUACUGACGCUGAGACGCGAAAGCGUGGAGAGCGAACAUG
rnacentral:rRNA from 1 species